rnacentral:lncRNA from 1 species
UUAAAAAGUAGAAAAUGAGGCAAGAAUUAGAAAGUAGGAGAAUAAUAGAGAGAACAGGAAGAUUAGAAGUUUGAGCAAGUAUUUUUGAAAGGGAAGGGGAGUAGAGAGCAUUCUUUUAGCAUCACCAAAAGAAAUGGGCCGGGUGCCGUGGCUCACGCCUGUAGUUCCAGCACUUUGGGAGGCCGAGUUAUCACUUUCACUGGAUGAAUGCAAGACCACUGUUUCAUGCCCCCAUGUUACAUUCAGACAGCAUCAUCAUGUGGAAAAUUGCAGAGUCGUCAC